rnacentral:misc_RNA from 1 species
UCCGGCUUAACGCCGGCGGUUUCCUUAGAGUGCCCAGCCGAACUGAUGGCAACUAAGGACGAGGGUUGCGCUCGUUGCGGGACUUAACCCAACAUCUCACGACACGAGCUGACGACAGCCGUGCAGCACCUGUGCACCGGCCAGCCAAACUGAAGGAGUCCAUCUCUGGACCCCAAACCGGGCAUGUCAAGGGGUGGUAAGGUUCUUCGCGUUGCCUCGAAUUAAACCACAUGCUCCACCGCUUGUGCGGGUCCCCGUCAAUUCCUUUGAGUUUUAAUCUUGCGACCGUACUCCCCAGGCGGGGUGCUUAAUGCGUUAGCGGCGCCACCGAGGUCUAUGACCCCGACGGCUAGCACCCAUCGUUUACGGCGUGGACUAC